UACUCCACAUCGAGACCUGUUACCAUGGCAACCGACUGACAACAGCUGCACCGAAGCAAACAAAAUACCAACCACAUUUCACACACACACGAAAAAAGUACGUAAAAAUGCAACUGAAGAGCCAAAGAGAAGAGGUGGACGAGUUCAGCAAGUCAACCAAGUUCCCCAAAGUCCCGAAAACUGAGGAGGCAAAUCCAGAAUAAAACUCAGCUUUUUAUCCUGAUAAAACGUACAGGAAGCGAUUGGAGAGCAGCAGGAAAAGUUGCUGCUGCGUUUGUGCCGAGGUCGAGCGAGCGCAGAGGCCUGGGAGGGAAAGCACCUGCGGAGGAGGAGUGCGUUCUGGACCACAGGAGAUAAAAGAGCCGGGUUUUCAUCGCUUCCUGCAAAGAAUGGGAGCCACCGUCAGAACAACCUGCGCAUCACUUUAAUCUUCCCCCUCAAAGGUUCGUCCUGAAAUCAGGAGAAAUGAAACAGAAAAGACGGAUGGAUUGAUGCUGCGAGAAAGAGAGAGAGUGAUCGAAUCACGCAGCGCUGCAGGAAGUCUUCCUCCCGUCAAUCUGAACCCACUCAGCUUCCUGUGCAGCAAACCCGAUUAGCUGCCUCUCCUCCGACGCUGGUGCGACUUUAAAGGGGGAUGUGGGGAUAAUAUGCAUUAUUACUUUUAUCCAGUAAGUGAGGCGGGCCAAUAAUUGGGCAACGCUGGAGUUUUAUUGUUCCCAGCUGCUGCGGUCAUUACUAAACGUCAAAGAGAUGCAACAUUUCCUGUCGCUCUAACGACAGUAAUCACUUCCCUCUCUCCUCUGAAUACUCUGCCGCGCAUCCUGGCCGUGGAAGGUACGGAGAUGAGACUUCUUCAUCAUCUUUAUUGGAUUCGUCCCGCAAACCAAAUCAUGGCAGGUGAACGCCCUGCAGACAACAAACCAACAGAGGAGCUCUGUUUUUAGAGGCUGGCAGACGCUUCACAGGUGUCACAGCUCAGGUGAGAAGAAGAUCUGAGGGACGAAGGGUUGCAAGCCGGCAGCGCGACUUCAUCUGAGAGUUAUGUUCUUAAACGAGAUCCAAAUAUAGAUCCAGUUUGGGUGGAAGGAAGGGGUUUGUUUUUUCUCCAAUAAAUCUUUGAAAGGUUCUGCAUUUUGUCUAACAGUGGCUGCAGUUUUCUACAAACAGACAGAGAACGUUGUUUUUACCAUUACAAAGUUGUAACAUACAUAACAUGUAUAUGUAACAUACAUAACAUGUAUGUUACAUAUAUGAAAAUGGAUUACAGUGAAUCUAAGGAUGUUCUCCCUCCUGAUAGACUCAGUUUGUUUGGACCAGAACUUCAUCAACCGCUCCAUCUACAGCCACUGUGAUUCUCUUCCUCUCUCUUGCUAGGGUGAGGCUAGCACAUUAGCUUUGGUUGUAUUUACUCAGAAUGCCCUGCU